rnacentral:rRNA from 1 species
ACAGAGGGUGCGAGCGUUAAUCGGAAUUACUGGGCGUAAAGCGUGCGUAGACGGUUAUUUAAGUCGGAUGUGAAAGCCCCGGGCUCAACCUGGGAAUUGCAUUCGAGACUGAAUAGCUAGGGUGCGGUAGAAGGUAGUGGAAUUCCCGGUGUAGCAGUGAAAUGCGUAGAGAUCGGGAGGAACAUCUGUGGCGAAGGCGACUACCUGGACCAGCACUGACACUGAGGCACGAAAGCGUGGGGAGCAAACAGGA